GACGAACGUUGGCGGCGCGCUUAAUACAUGCAAGUCAACUGAAGCAGUGGUAGUAAUAUCGCUGUGGAGGUGGCGCACGGGUGAGUAACACGUAGGUAAUCUGCCUUCAGGUCUGGCAUAACUCCGGGAAACCGGGGCUAAUAGCAGAUGAUGCAGCGGCUCGACAUCGAGACAGUUGUUAAAGCUAUGGCGCCUGAAGAUGAGCCUGCGUCUGAUUAGCUAGUUGGCGGGGUAACGGCCCACCAAGGCAACGAUCAGUAGCUGGUCUGAGAGGAUGAUCAGCCACAGAGGAACUGAGACACGGUCCAGACUACUAAGGGGGGCAGAAGUAAGGAAUAUUGCUCAAUGGGAGAAAUACUGAAGCAGCAACGGCGCGGGAGGGACGAAGGGCUUUUGCUUGUAAACCUCUGUAGUGAGAGAAAAAAAUCCCAAUCUGUGGGACAUGAUGGUAUCUAAAAAGUAAGCCCCGGCUAACUACGUG
rnacentral:rRNA from 1 species